rnacentral:rRNA from 1 species
AUGAACGGCCAUAGCGGCCUGGCCCUACCCGAUCCCAUCCCGAACUCGGAAGUCAAGCAGGCCCACGUGCCGGGUUGUACUCCCCUUACGGGCGGGAAGCUUGGCUCGCUGUUCAUC